rnacentral:lncRNA from 1 species
CACUCGGGAGUGGGCAAGAGAUAUCGUUACGCAGCUGCUGUGUGCCCGACCGACCCUGUCCGAAACCCUUCCUAUCAGGAAACAGAGCUCAGUGCAGCCCACUAAAUUGCUCAGGGCCCUACAGCUAACAAGCGGCAGAGGCAGGAUCUGCACUCAGGAGCUGCUUGGAGAUGCUGCUGUGGCCACUGCUGCUGCUGCUGCUGCUGCUGCCAACAUUGGCCCUGCUCAGGCAGCAGCGGUCCCAGGAUGCCAGGCUGUCCUGGCUUGCUGGCCUCCAGCACCGAGUGGCAUGGGGGGCCCUGGUCUGGGCAGCCACCUGGCAGCGGCGGAGGCUGGAGCAGAGCACGCUCCAUGUGCACCAGAGCCAGCAGCAGGCCCUGAGGUGGUGUCUACAGGGAGCCCAGCGCCCCCACUGUUCCCUCAGAAGGAGCACAGGGUCUCACCAGUCUUGCCUGAAACUCUUGGGAAACUGGCUUCCUGAGGCGUUUCUGUUGUCAUUGGGGCUAUAGACAUAAGCACCUUCCGGAAUCAUCUCCCUCUGACCAAGGCCAGCCAGACCCAGCAGGAAGACAGUGGAGAGCAGCC